AUGGUGGAGUAGGCUGUCCCCCUGCAGACCAUGGGGUACCACAGCAGAGCAGAACUCCACGCUGCAGAAGGUGGAGGAGCCUGCAGUGGUGUAGGUGAAUGUGGCCUGAAGGAGGUCGCAGCCCAUGGAGAGCCCCCGAAGAGGCAGAUGCCAGGCCAGAAUUGCAGCCUGUGGAGAGGCGCCCCCUGUGUAGCUGGAAGUCUGUCAGGAACUGCGGCCUGUGGAGGUCCCAUGCUGGAGCAGUCCAUUCCUGAAGGACUGCACCCUGUGUUAUAGUCCCAUAUAGGAACAGUUCUUGAAGAACUGCAAUUUGUGGGAAGCCCACUUUGGAUCAGAUUACUAAGGACCACAUCCCCUGGGUGGGACCCCAUGGUGGAGCAGGGAAAGAGAGAAAACAUGAAGGAGCUACAGAGAUGAAGUAUUACGGACUGAACACAGUUACCAUUCCCCAUUCCUCUGUGACACUUGAGAGGAGGUCUCCAAGGGCUGUUCAGUGAAUCUGUGUCUUCCAUCAGCAAAGCCUAUCUCAGUAAGAUCAGAUCAGAUAAUCCAGACAUGAGGAAAAUUUGAGGUCUUCACUGAAAUGCAAAGGUUGCCACAAAU